UAGCGGCGAACGGGUGAGGAACACGUGAAGAAUCUGCCCUCCACUUUGGGAUAACACAGGGAAACCUGUGCUAAUACCGAAUAUUGAAACAUAAGUGGCAUCACUGAGUUUUGAAAGAAUUUCGGUGGAGGAUGACUUCGCGGCCUAUCAGCUAGUUGGUGAGGUAAUGGCUCACCAAGGCAACGACGGGUAGCCGGCCUGAGAGGGCGACCGGCCACACUGGGACUGAGACACGGCCCAGACUCCUACGGGAGGCAGCAGUGGGGAAUAUUGGGCAAUGGAGGAAACUCUGACCCAGCGACGCCGCGUGCGGGAUGAAGGCCUUCGGGUUGUAAACCGCUUUCAGUAGGGAAGAAGCGAAAGUGACGGUACCUACAAAAGAAGCACCGGCUAACUAUGUGCCAGCAGCCGCGGUAAUACAUAGGGUGCAAGCGUUGUCCGGAAUUAUUGGGCGUAAAGAGCUCGUAUGUUGUUUGUUACGUCGGAUGUGAAAACCUGAGGCUCAACCUCAGGCCUGCAUUCGAUACGGGCAAACUAUAGUUUGGUAGGGGAGACUGGAAUUCUGGUGUAGCGGUGGAAUGCGCAGAUAU
rnacentral:rRNA from 1 species